rnacentral:rRNA from 1 species
UACGUAGGGUGCGAGCGUUGUCCGGAAUUACUGGGCGUAAAGAGCUCGUAGGUGGUUUGUCGCGUUGUCCGUGAAAACUCACAACUCAAUUGUGGGCGUGCGGGCGAUACGGGCAGACUGGAGUACUGCAGGGGAGACUGGAAUUCCUGGUGUAGCGGUGGAAUGCGCAGAUAUCAGGAGGAACACCCGUGGCGAAGGCGGCUCUCUGGGACGGUACUGACGCUGAGACGCGAAAGCGUGGGGAGCAAACAGG